rnacentral:rRNA from 1 species
UCUGGGGUGACGAGUGGCGGACGGGUGAGUAAUGCAUGGGGAGCUGCCCAAUCGAGGGGGAUACCAGCUGGAAACGGCUGCUAAUACCGCAUACGCCCUGAGGGGGAAAGGUGGGACCUUCGGGCCUACCGCGAUUGGAUGCACCCAUGUGGGAUUAGCUAGUUGGUGAGGUAACGGCUCACCAAGGCGACGAUCUCUAGCUGGUCUGAGAGGAUGACCAGCCACACUGGAACUGAGACACGGUCCAGACUCCUACGGGAGGCAGCAGGUGGGGAAUAUUGCAACAAGUCGGGGGAAACCCUGAUGCAGCCAUGCCGCGUGUGUGAAAAGGAAGGCCGUUCGGGUUGUAAGGCUACUUUCAGUGGGGAGGAAGGGUUGAUGUCUAAUACGCAUCAACAUUGACGUUACCCACAGAAGAAGCACCGGCUAACUCCGUGCCAGCCGCCGC